rnacentral:rRNA from 1 species
AUUGAACGCUGGCGGCAUGCCUUACACAUGCAAGUCGAACGGUAACAGGUCUUCGGAUGCUGACGAGUGGCGAACGGGUGAGUAAUACAUCGGAACGUGCCUAGUAGUGGGGGAUAACUACUCGAAAGAGUGGCUAAUACCGAAUGAGAUCUACGGAUGAAAGUAGGGGAUCGCACGACCUUGUGCUACUAGAGCGGCAGAUGGCAGAUUAGGUCGUUGGUGGGAUAAAAGCUUACCAAGCCGACGAUCUGUAGCUGGUCUGAGAGGACGAUCAGCCACACUGGGACUGAGAAACGGCCCAGACUCCUACGGGAGGCAGCAGUGGGGAAUUUUGGACAAUGGGCGCAAGCCUGAUCCAGCAAUGCCGCGUGCAGGAUGAAGGCCUUCGGGUUGUAAACUGCUUUUGUACGGAACGAAAAGCCCCGGGUUAAUACCCUGGGGUCAUGACGGUACCGUAAGAAUAAGCACCGGCUAACUACGUGCCAGCCGCCGCCGUAA